GUUUUCAGUUGAUGCCAAAAACCAGAAUGAGCCUUCUGAGACAAAGCCCCCAAUAAUACACAAUCUUUCACACCACUUCUCUUUCGAUUCAUCAAAAGAUGUCUUCAUAGAAAACAUGAAGCAACACACCUUAUAUAAGAAAAAAACGGAAUUGAACAGUAUAUAUGUCGAAGAAGUCAAGACUUCUUUGAGCAACGCGUUUCUUCAGGCCGAUCUUGCUUUAGCAAAGGACUGCAACAAAGGCUCUUUUCUCAGGUUUUUCUUCUGGUACCUGGUACCUCGGCUCUUGCUGCCCUUAUUUUUGGAAGACACUUAAUGGUUGCAAAUGCAGGAGAUGGCAGAGCUG